rnacentral:sRNA from 1 species
CUCUCUUACUGCUGUGUGUGCAAUUCCAGCUCUCUUGCACUUUCUGAGACCUGGGAGAGGAAGGCAGUUUUUCAGACACUGAUUUGGUGGUGAAAUGCAAGGCAGCUGUCGGAAGGCUGCCUUCUACCACCUCAGUUCUAUUGGACAGUCAACAUGGACCUUUUAACUGAUAUCAUUGUUGCUAACUCUUUGGGAAGGGCAAAAUCUCCAGAGAGCCUCAAAGUAAUGUGGGCUGCCAAUAUGGGACCCAGACUUAUACCAGUCCAAACCAAGUACAGGCCAAUGGGAAGAGACCUCAUUGGGUUGCAGAAAGAAAGGAGACGUCCAUAUGUCACCAAGGUUAAAACCAAUGACAAGUUCUAAUUUGACAUUUGCACUUUGUUCUUAUCCCGCAAUGAUGCUUCCUACACAAGAAGUCACAUGACCACAGAGUGUCAUUUGUCAAAGAACCAAGAACUUGUUCAAAACUCUACAUAGCAUCCAAUCUAUCACAUGGAUAUGCAAUAAUGAGAUGCUCCAGUUGUUGUGGCCCAUGGCUAGAAAGGUCACCUUAAGCCUGCAGCCACCCUGACAGGAAGCUCAAAAUAUACUGCCCAGAACUUACUAAACAAUCCCCAGAAGUGCUGUCUUUGUCCAUCAUUACUUUGAGA